AACGCAUAUUGCGCCCUUUGGUAUUCCGAAGGGCAUGCCUGUUCGAGCGUCAUUAUCACCCCUCAAGCCUGUGCUUGGUGUUGGAUUUGGUUACCGCCCAGGCGUAACCAAUCUCAAAGAUAGUGACGGCGUCCCAGAAGGAACCGGUACGAGGAGCUUCUUAAACCAAGCAUGUACGCGGCGUGAUUCUGCGGGCGGCGGUCUUUAAAAUCCUUAAAUUUCUAAGUGUUGACCUCGGAUCAGGUAGGAAUACCCGCUGAACUUAA
rnacentral:misc_RNA from 1 species